AAAGAUCGAUAUCGAGGGAGUACGAUGCCCUAGAGAAUUCCUGCUCAUGUGGGCAGCGUGUACCGUGUACAGUCUGAAGUCCCCUCACCUCAACAAACUGCCACUCCGACGUGCAGGUAUCAUUCU
rnacentral:sRNA from 12 species